rnacentral:rRNA from 1 species
AUUGAACGCUGGCGGCAUGCCUUACACAUGCAAGUCGAACGGCAGCACGGGUGCUUGCGCCUGGUGGCGAGUGGCGAACGGGUGAGUAAUACAUCGGAACAUGUCCUGUAGUGGGGGAUAGCCAGGCGAACGCCGGAUUAAUACCGCCUACGAUCUACGGAUGAAAGAGGGGGACCUUCGGGCCUAGCGCUAUAGCGUUGUCCGAUGGCCGAUUAGCUAGUUGGUGGGGUAAAGGCGUACCAAGGCGACGAUCAGUAGCUGGUCUGAGAGGACGACCAGCCACACUGGGACUGAGACACGGCCCAGACUCCUACGGGAGGCAGCAGUGGGGAAUUUUGGACAAUGGGCGAAAGCCUGAUCCAGCAAUGCCGCGUGUGUGAAGAAGGCCUUCGGGUUGUAAAGCACUUUUGUCCGGAAAGAAAACCUAGGCCCUAAUACUGUCGGGGGAUGACGGUACCGGAAGAAUAAGCACCGGCUAACUACGUG